rnacentral:rRNA from 1 species
UGCUAAGCCAUAAACAUUGAUAGUUAAAUAUACAACACUUUCCGCCAGAGAACUACAAGUGAAAAACUUAAAACUCAAAGGACUUGGCGGUGUCCCACAUUCGACCUAGAGGAGCCUGUCCUAUAAUCGAUACUCCCCGCUCUACCUCACCAGCACUAGCACUAACUUCAGCCUAUAUACCGCCGUCGACAGCUUACCCCCUGAGGGUUUAACAGUAAGCACAAUAGUCCUACCACUAACACGUCAGGUCAAGGUGUAGCUAAUGUGCUGGCAGAGAUUGGCUACAUUUUUUACUUUAAAAAACACGAAAUGCUAUAUGAAAAACAGCAUGAAGGCGAAUUUAGUAGUAAAACAGACAAGAGAGUCUGCUUUAACAACGCUCUGGGACGCGUACAC